rnacentral:rRNA from 1 species
UACAGAGGGUGCGAGCGUUAAUCGGAAUGACUGGGCGUAAAGGGUGCGUAGGUGGUGCUUUAAGUCUACUGUGAAAGCCCCGGGCUUAACCUGGGAACGGCAGUGGAUACUGGAGGACUAGAGUAGGUGAGAGGAGAGUGGAAUUUCCGGUGUAGCGGUGAAAUGCGUAGAGAUCGGAAAGAACACCAGUGGCGAAGGCGGCUCUCUGGUACCAUACUGACACUGAGGCACGAAAGCGUGGGGAUCAAACAGG